rnacentral:rRNA from 1 species
AGAGUUUGAUNCUGGCUCAGGACGAACGCUGGCGGCGUGCCUAACACAUGCAAGUCGAACGGAGUGAUUUGAAAGCUUGCUUUUGAAUCACUUAGUGGCGGACGGGUGAGUAACGCGUGAGUAACCUGCCUUUCAGAGGGGGAUAACAUCCUGAAAAGGAUGCUAAUACCGCAUGACAUAUCGAGGCCGCAUGGUCUUGGUAUCAAAGGAGCAAUCCGCUGAGAGAUGGACUCGCGUCCGAUUAGCCAGUUGGCGGGGUAACGGCCCACCAAAGCGACGAUCGGUAGCCGGACUGAGAGGUUGAACGGCCACAUUGGGACUGAGACACGGCCCAGACUCCUACGGGAGGCAGCAGUGGGGGAUAUUGCACAAUGGAGGAAACUCUGAUGCAGCAACGCCGCGUGAGGGAAGAAGGUCUUCGGAUUGUAAACCUUUGUCCUUGGUGACGAAACAAAUGACGGUAGCCAAGGAGGAAGCUCCGGCUAACUACGUGCCAGCAGCCGCGGUAAUACGUAGGGAGCAAGCGUUGUCCGGAUUUACUGGGUGUAAAGGGUGCGUAGGCGGCUCUGCAAGUCAGGCGUGAAAACUAUGGGCUUAACCCAUAGACUGCGUUUGAAACUGUGGGGCUUGAGUGAAGUAGAGGUAGGCGGAAUUCCCGGUGUAGCGGUGAAAUGCGUAGAGAUCGGGAGGAACACCAGUGGCGAAGGCGGCCUACUGGGCUUUAACUGACGCUGAAGCACGAAAGCAUGGGUAGCAAACAGGAUUAGAUACCCUGGUAGUCCAUGCCGUAAACGAUGAUUAACUAAGGUGUGGGGUGGGUCUGGACCC